GGGCGUUUAGCGCAGCUGGUUUAGAGCAUCUGCCUUACAAGCAGAGGGUCGGCGGUUCGAAUCCGUCAACGCCCA
rfam:Prevotella maculosa OT 289 genomic scaffold supercont1.4, whole genome shotgun sequence.